CAGUCGCCGCGGUAAUACGGAGGGUGCAAGCGUUAAUCGGAAUUACUGGGCGUAAAGCGCGCGCAGGCGGUUUGUUAAGUCAGAUGUGAGAUCCCCGAGCUUAACUUGGGAACUGCAUUUGAAACUGGCAAGCUAGAGUCUUGUAGAGGGGGGUAGAAUUCCAGGUGUAGCGGUGAAAUGCGUAGAGAUCUGGAGGAAUACCGGUGGCGAAGGCGGCCCCCUGGACAAAGACUGACGCUCAGGUGCGAAAGCGUGGGGAGCAAACAGGAUUAGAUACCCCUGUAGUCCCUGUCUCUUAUAC
rnacentral:rRNA from 1 species